rnacentral:lncRNA from 1 species
AGAACCUCCUGUCUGUCGCUGUCCUCUGCCCCUCAUGGUGGUUAAUAGUUCUUAGCCUCUUAAGCUCGUCAGAAGAGGCCAAGGCAUAGUCCAAGGGCUUUCUGUCCUGCACUGGAGCAACUGGAGGCAACUCCUCCUCCACAACCUCUAUUAUUGGCUUUACUGUAAAACUUAGGCUGCUCAGUUGUGCUGGGGUGCUCAAACUGUGAGCUCUCUGGCUGGUAUUCCUCAUGAGCGAUUCGGCGGUUUUGGAUUCCUUUUCUAUAUAUCCAUUCAUGUGGUACAUCUGUUCCACACUCAAUUUAUUGAAGACUUCAAAGAACUCUUUGAACCACUUGUUCGUUUUUGGAGUCUCAAAACUUUUCUCACUUGCAUCAGAAUCAUAGUCACACUGAUAUCAUCACUCAAAUCAUCACCAUCAUCUAAUGUAUUGUUGCCAUCAACAUUCUCCACCUCAGGGUCAGAACCAGAUGGAGGAGCAUCAUCCAUCUCGACUUCAGAACCAGAUGGGCGAGGCCUGUAUUGCCACUGCCAACCAUUUGCCAGAGGUGGAGUCAGAACAGGGCGCAGUGUUUGUGGUGGCGGUCUAGUGUUGCCUCUGUUAGCAGCACCACGAUCUGAAGCUUGAGCCCAAGUCGUUCCAGAAGGGUGCAAGGAACCAUUGCCACCUCAUGCUGGCCUUGCUGUGUUAGGUGUCGCAUUUGUAGAACUCCAUGGUGCCCACUGUCUCCCACCUACUUGCCCUUGUUUCUUCGACUUCUUCCCCAUGGUUUCCCAGCCACCAUCUGUAUGCAGGGUAGGAUCAUGCAGCGUCAGAUAAAUUAAUCUCCAUUUUUAUGUUUUAGUUCUUUGUUUUUCAUUUUGUCUACUUUAGUUUUCAGUUUCUAUUUGUCAAUUUCAGUUUUUUUUCUGGUUGUCAAUUUCAGCUUCAGGGAGAAGUUAAUGGGUGACCAAGCCUUGAUGAAGAAAGAGCUGGACAACCUGAAAAGGUUGAUGGGCAACCAAGAGUUGAAGAAGGAUGAUGUGCAUAAGCUGAAAGGGACUACAGGGAAACCUUGGAAGAUGGCAAUGUGUUCACUGUGUUUUCUGCUUUUGGCGAUCGUGAUUGGGUGGUUUGUAAUGGAACAUAUGAAUGGGGAGGAAGCAUUCAGGGGACUUCUGCUGAGCCCUUAGGCUAAUGAACUUAGGAUGAUGGACUUUUGUAUAGCUAGUCCAGUGUUGUUCCUGCUGGAAGGUCUCAAGUAGUGUCCAGCCACUAGUACUCCUGAAAGCCUUGUAUGUGUUACCCUGAGACACUAUAUUAAGUAGCUAAAUGCCCUUGAAAGCCUUAUAUGUUUCGCUAAUCUCCCGGUCUAGUGAACUUUCUUAGCUCGGAUUUACCCUCCUUACCCCGAUUUACCCUCGUAUUCGAGAUUUACCAACUACAUCACCACAAUACACGAAGGCAAUGCAAGCAGCUCACAUAUUUAUGCCAUUCUUUCAUUCACUUUGCAAAAUCAAAACUUUGCGUGCGUGCACUCGCGGCUGAAGUUGUGGUGAA